rnacentral:rRNA from 1 species
GACGAACGCUGGCGGCGUGCUUAACACAUGCAAGUCGACAUGAGUGGCGAACGGGUGUGUAAUACGUGGGUAACCUGCCCUCCUUUUUAGGAUAAGCAUUGGAAACGGGGUCUAAUACCGAAUAAAGGGGGAUGGGCUCGGGGCCUAUCAGUUUGUUGGUGGGGUGCUGGGCUACCAAGGCGGUGACGGGUUGCCGGCCUGAGCGGCUGACCGGGAACAGUGGGACUGGGAUACGGCCUAGGGGAGGACGGGGGGCGGAAGAUGGGGAUAUUGCAGAAUGGGCGAAAGCCUGAUGCAGCGGGGAUGCGGGGGGGAUGAAGGUUGUCGGGUUGUAACCCUCGUGCGCAAUCGAACGGGUAGGUGGAGAAGAAGCGCCGGCUAACUACGUGCCAGCAGCCGCGGUAAUAC